CAUAUUUUUAAUAAUAUGGAUGAAUUUCCGGUUCGUAUCUCUAAUGCCGAAUUUCAGAAAACAGGCCAAAAUAUUCAUACAUUUCAUUAAUUGACUUUUUUUUAACUGCCAUCUACCAUCAUUUGGAAUCUUAAUAAAUUCGAUUGGAAGUGAUUAAAAGAUGAUGGCUGGAUUUUAUAUAGAAAUUUGAGUUUAAUAACGCGAAAUGCGUCGAAAUUUAACAGCUGAUCUUGCAAACGGAUUUGCGUCAAUUGCUUUAUUUCGAUUUUAAAAUAAACUAGAGAUUGGCCCAAAGCCAAACCCAUAUUCCAGGUUGGGCAACUUAUGUAAACUAUUUUAUAAGCCAAAAAACUUUUAUAAAAAAAUAUUAACAAGCUUCGCUAUAGUGGGAUAUAUCAUUUCUUAAUUUUAGAUGAUCAAAUUUAAAUGGCAACUAUAAAGGGAAAUACAGAUUCUAAAGCGUAUAUGGAAUGUUAUCUAAUUAUUAAAAGUUACAAAUUAUAAUAUAUUACAGAGUUGUUAUUCAAACACAUAUAAAAAUACAGUUGUUUUAGAGAUGUCUGAGCCCGACUCAAAUUUUUCAAAAGUUUUAGAACCUGUUUGAAGGGCUAUAAGAAUGCAAUACCAGACCAUUAUUUUAGUUACAAGAUAUAUUGGACUAGAAAUUGAAAAUAAAAAACAAAUCUACAGAGAUUAAUAUGAUGUAUCUAAAACUCAAGAAUGAUAAUGAUUUUAUUAAAUAAUUUUAUAUUGAUAACAUUACAAUUAUU